rnacentral:rRNA from 1 species
GAUGAACGCUGGCGGCGUGCCUAAUACAUGCAAGUCGAGCGAACAGACGAGGAGCUUGCUCCUCUGACGUUAGCCGCGGGGGGGUGUGUAACACGUGGAUACCCUCCCUAUAAGACUGGGAUACUUUCGGGAAACCGGAGCUUAUACGGGAUGAUAUAUUGAAGCGCAUUGUUCAAUAGUAAAAGACGGUUUUGCUGUCUCUUAUAGAUGGAUCCGCGCCGGAUUAGCUAGUUGGUAAGGUAAAGGAUUACCAAGGCUACGAAGCGUGACCGACCGGAGAGGGUGAUCGGCCACACUGGAACUGAGACACGGUCCAGACUCCUACGGGAGGCAGCAGUAGGGAAACUUCAGCAAUGAGCGAAAACCUGACGGAGCAACGCCGCGUGAGUGAUGAAGGUCUUCGGAUCGUAAAACUCUGUUAUUAGGGAAGAACAAAUGUGUAAGUAACUAUGCACGUCUUGACGGUACCUAAUCAGAAAGCCACGGCUAACUACGUG